rnacentral:rRNA from 1 species
ACGCGACUCCAGGUCAGGCG